ACUUUUGGCAGGGAAGAAAAGGCGCCGGCUAAUACCUGGUGCUGCUGACGGUACCUGCAGAAUAAGCACCGGCUAACUACGUGCCAGCAGCCGCGGUAAUACGUAGGGUGCAAGCGUUAAUCGGAAUUACUGGGCGUAAAGCGUGCGCAGGCGGUUCGGAAAGAAAGAUGUGAAAUCCCAGGGCUUAACCUUGGAACUGCAUUUUUAACUACCGGGCUAGAGUAUGUCAGAGGGGGGUAGAAUUCCACGUGUAGCAGUGAAAUGCGUAGAGAUGUGGAGGAAUACCGAUGGCGAAGGCAGCCCCCUGGGAUAAUACUGACGCUCAGGCACGAAAGCGUGGGGAGCAAACAGGAUUAGAUACCCUGGUAGUCCACGCCCUAAACGAUGUCAACUAGCUGUUGGGGCCUUCGGGCCUUGGUAGCGCAGCUAACGCGUGAAGUUGACCGCCUGGGGAGUACGGUCGCAAGAUUAAAACUCAAAGGAAUUGACGGGGACCCGCACAAGCGGUGGAUGAUGUGGAUUAAUUCGAUGCAACGCGAAAAACCUUACCUACCCUUGACAUGUCUGGAAUCCCGAAGAGAUUUGGGAGUGCUCGCAAGAGAACCGGAACACAGGUGCUG
rnacentral:rRNA from 2 species